CCUCUCUGUGUGCAUCUGGCUAUAGUAAAUGAUUUACAAAGCAAAGGGCAUUGAAAGUACAAAAAGCAUCCUCGUUUUGCUGCUUUACUGUGCAACAUUUUCUAUUCGGGAAACACACUAUGACCACGACAAUGCUUCAAUUCACUUUAUGUAUCCUGUUGCUGACAGGAGCCUUGGGACUACCAUUUUUCUCAGAGGAAGAAGCCAACCAAUUUUUGAGUCUUAAGAGACAAACACCUUAUUUAGACUACUUGCAACUAACUAGCAGCCAGAGUACUCUGGGUGAACAGGUUAGUGAAGCCUGGACUACACUGAAAAACACAGGACAAUAUUACAUGGAUCUGGGAUAUUCUGUAUUCAGUACCGACACAGCCAGGGAUCAUAUUAAUUCUUACAUGGAUAUGUUGCAGCAUCCCAGAGCACAUUUGAAAAAGCAAAGAAGAAAACCUACAGAAAUCGGACAUUGAUCCUUAUUGUUCAGACUGCCCUUAAAGGCCAGCAUUUAUGGCAGCUUGAUGCUUCCUGGAAUAUUGGGGCUUGGAGCAAACAGUGUGAAACCAAACAGCAGUCUUUAUCCUGUUGACCUUCAUUGACCUUCACUGUCAGUUUUCUCCUCAUCAUCACCUUCUGUGUUGCAUCUCCUCUAAAUUCAUCUGCUCUGGUCCCCUUGUUUCCCUUUCAGUAGCAGCAGGUACCAGAAAGGCAAAUUGGAACACUAAAAAGGGAUUUCUUUUCACAGUAGACUGAAUGAACUUGUCUGUCACAGCUCUGAUUGGUCACAAAGCACACUGUCUCACAACGAUUGUGACUGAUACCCGAAUUCUUUUUUAAAAAGUGCUGAGAACACCUGUUACUUUUCUAAAUCUGGAACUCUCUAGUUCUUUGUGGCAUAGAAAAUUACCACUUCCCCGCAGAAUUUCAUGAACAUUAUAUCAGGAUAAGAUGCCUGUCUUUAAGAUGGAGAAAUACUGUAUUCGUUGAACUGACACAAACGUCUUUGUUCUGCCUUGGAUUGAAUAAUACGAAGUAAAAAUGAAGUUCAUUAUUUGCUAAGUGGGUGAGUUGAGUAACUAAAAUGAUCUCAGGCUCUUCAUAGAUGCAAUUUAUUUGAAGAUUUCUUCAAACGACAGCAAAUAAACAGGAAAUGAGAUCCA
rnacentral:lncRNA from 1 species